GCAGAAAAUAGAAAGCAAUAAUGUAAUUUACAUGGCUCUUUAAUAUAAUUUGACAGACAUCCGUGGAAGAGAUGUGAAAUGAAUAGAAAAAUAGAAUAGUUUUAGACUGGUUCUCAAACUUUAAUUGCAAUAUACACAUCUAGAUGACAUGAAGCUCUGUACCUGGCAAACAAACAUGUUUUCCUUAUUGAUAGCAACAGAGCUAAGUUGACAUGGGUGGUUGCGACAGUGGUGAUGGCACCAAUAGUGUUCCUGGUGGUGGCGGUGAUGGUGGUGGUGGAGGUGUCGAUGGUGGUGGCGGUGGCGGUGGCGGUGGUGGUGGUGGCGGUGGUGGUGGAGAGGGCCAAAUCUUGCGAAUCGGAGGCAUUCUGAAGUGAACAGGAGCACUUGGUUUAGGAGCUGGCGGCCUUAAUAUAAUUUGCUUUAACCUUUUCGACUCAAAAUUGAAUUUAUUAUGGGACAGAAAAUCAUUGGAGCCAAUUACAUUAGAGGAUGAACUGGAAACAGCUUCUUUACUGGCCUGGAUUGUUUGAGAACUAUGUGAAAGUAGGACGCCGAGGAUGAGCAACAUGAAAAUUUGCAGGAAAGAAUGGGCUUGAUCCGUUGCCAUUUCGACAAUGAUCCUUCAACAGGUUCGCCUACAGACAUCGUAGCAAGCUGACUGCGGUUGAUAAGGAAAAACCCGUCGCUUUGAUAGCUAGCCAACGAAGAAAAGUCGAGCGGACCAGGCCAUCACUCUCAAUAGUGAUCUAGUGGUCUAGACUGAGACUAAUAUUAAUCUUAAUG
rnacentral:lncRNA from 1 species